GGAGGGAACCGGCGGCGCUGCCGAGCCCCACUCGCCGGAUCCGCGUGCGGCCCUCGCGGGCGCGUGGCUCCGUCGAGCGGUGCUCGACAGUGCCCUAAAGCGGCCGCCCGCACCCGCAUGAGGAGGUCCACGGCGGCGGCGACGAAUACGGCCGGUCCGGCCCGGCGACUGGCACCCAACGCCGGCGAGCACAGGGAGGACAAGCUUCGAGCCAGUGUGGCAGGGACGGCGAGGCCGCUCAUGGCCAUGUCCCCGGGCGCGCGCUCGCAGUUGGGCAGCUGCCGCGGCAGCACCGAGGGCAACAACAACCACCGCGGCCCUUAGGUCCAGCAUCUUUGACUUUGGUAGGCGCUGAAGCUUUUCUGUGAAAACCUGUAUAUUAGAUUAUAGAACUCAUAAGGCCAUAAAGUGGUACAUGAGUUGAAGGAUUGUUGUAAACUCAAGUGGUUUCAUACCUUUAUUUCUGAGGCCUCUUCAGAUAUAUCAGUUCCGUGUCCCCUUAGCUUC